GUGAAGAUGUGUCUGCUUCCCCUUCACCUUCCAUCAUGAUUGUAAGUUUCCUGAGGCCUACUCAGCUAUGAUUCCAAUACAGCCUGCAGAACUCGGGGUCUACAUUUUCACACCUUCUGGUUCCUAUUCUUCUCCUGAUUGGCUGGAUUGUGGGCUGCAUCAUAAUGAUUUAUGUUGUCUUCUCUUAGAAAGGCAAGAAGAUAUCAGAUUGACAUCAUUUAGAAGAAUUAAGAAAACUAUGAACAUGACUGAUUAUUAAAUGUCUCAUGUUAAACAAUGCAAUGUUUGACAUCACUUUACAAACUUGGAUCAUAAACUGGCACUUUGGUAUGCAUAAGAAUUUCUUCAGGACAAUAAGAAAUUAUGAGUGAAUUUCUCUAUAUUCUGAGUGAGAAAAAUGUUUAGCUGUGAUGAAAAAUGCAUGUCAUUAAAAAAAGUUUGAUAAAUUUAAUCACAUUACAAAAAAUUAUCCCCCCUUCCCUCUGGAAAAAACUAUAGAGAAAGUGGGCUGAGGCUGUGCAAGGUGGCUCAUGCCUGUAAUCCCAGCACUUUGUGAGGAUCCUUUGAGCCCAGAAAUUGGAGACCUUCCUAGGCGACAGAGAGAGACCCCAUCUCUACAAAAAAAAAAAAAAAAAAAAAAAAAAAGAAAGAAAAUGGGCUAGAGAUAAAAACAGACAAUUCAGAGAACAUAUAAUGUAAAAGUACACUUACUUAAUCUCUUGUUCACAAAAAGAGAAAUGUAAUUAAAACUACACUGAGGAAUUGUUGCUCACUUAUCAGAUGGGAAAAAAAUAAAGAUGUUUGACAACAUAUGAGUUGGUAAGACUGUGUGCAAUUAGGCAUUCUCAUACAUUGUCUUUGGGAAUUCAAAAUGGUACAUUUUGCGGGAUGUUUGGCAGUACAUAUCUAUCAAAAUUACAUAUAUAUUUAAUUUUUGACUUAGCUAUCCCUCUUCUAGGAAUAUGGCAAUUUCCACAGGUACAUGAGCAAAAAUACAAAAUGGCUCAUAUACAAGGCUAUUUAUUCUGGCAUAAUUUGUUUAGCAAAAACCUGGAAAUAAGCCAAAUAUCUAUUAAUAGGGGAUUAACUGAAUAAACUGUGGUAUGUCUACAUAAUGUAGUACUUACGCAGUUGUAAAAAGGAAUGAAAAGGACUUUUAGAUACUGAUAUGAAGAGAUCUCCAGGACAAAAGUGUUAAGUGAAGAAGCCAGGUAUAGGACAAUGUAUGCUACCUUUUAUAUGAGAGAAGAAGGGGCUAUACCAAUGUGUACAUGUAUUUGUUGAAAUUAGAAUAUUGAAACUGAGGAGAAACAAAUGGAGGCUAGAUAUCUCUGAAUAUGCCUUGUUUUAUAGUUCUUAUUUUUGGAAUCAUAUAACUAUUUUAUAAGUUAAAAAGAAAAAAAUAAUUUCUCAAAAUUGAAAACAAACUAAAGCAAAUAUGAGAGUAUAUCAAGUUGUGGCAUAACCACACAGAGAAAAGACAUAUUUCAUACAUCUUUAUAACAGCAUAUUUGACUGUACACCUCUUAUGGGAUAAAAAUCUUAACCACAUUCAGUAGUCUUUUUGUUCAUGGUAAUAUUGAUAUGGUUGGUUUGAAU
rnacentral:lncRNA from 1 species